UGAGGAAACUACUACUAAGAAAAAAAAAUCAUUGUCAUUUUGUAAUGCUUUUUGGUAACCAUAAGAUGGCAAUAUUCACCACAUAUUCAUAUUAUUAAGCCUCAUUACAGGAUCAUUAGCUCCUCCUUUUCUAUUUACUUGUUUAAAAAACAGAUCUCUCAUUCACAUAUGUGUUUCUCUCCCUCUUUCAUUAAUGUACUAUACAACAAAAAUGAUACUGUGAUACUGAUUGAAGGAUAAGAUCUGUGUCACAAUAUUUGCAGUUGUUUUUGCAUAAUCUUCAGAGAGCAAGAAGUUCCUGAGUGACUGUAGGACUCAGAUCCUGAUUUCCUGGAGAAACUCAGAGCAUCACAAUCAUCACAACCCAGAGAACAGAAGAGCAACAACAGAACAGAUCUAACUUAGUAAACAUGGACAGACACUUGGUACUGAUUUUAAUCAUGACUUCAGGUGCAAUGGCAGCUGACCAGAUUGGGCCAAAUAAGGGUGCAAAUGUCAUCAGUACAGAAGGAGAGUCUGUGAGAUUGAGUUGCUCAUAUGAUACAAGCAGCAGCUAUGUUAGACUUUACUGGUACAGACAGUAUCUUAAUAAAGAACCUCAGUAUUUAAUGUGGAAAGAUUCUGCGUCAUGGGGUGCUACUGGAACCCCUGCUGAUCCUCGGUUUCAGAUGACUACAUCAGAAACAUCCACUGAACUCACCAUUACUAGUGUAACUCUGUCGGAUUCGGCUCUCUAUUACUGUGCUCUAAGAGCUGGAGCCCAGUGAUACAAAGUCUAUGUGAAGCCGUACAAAAACUCAAUUUCAUUUUUCUCUUUGAAAAUGAACCACA